rnacentral:rRNA from 1 species
GAAUCAUCGAAUCUUUGAACGCACAUUGCGCCCCUUGGUAUUCCGGGGGGCAUGCCUGUUCGAGCGUCAUUAUCACCCCUCAAGCUCAGCUUGGUGUUGGGGCCUGCCCGUCACAGGGCAGCCCUUAAAAGCAGUGGCGGUGCCAUCUGGCUCUACGCGUAGUAAUACUCCUCGCGACAGAGUCCCGGUGGUGUCCUGCCAGAACCCCCCAUAUUUUUAAUGAUUGACCUCGGAUCAGGUAGGGAUACCCGCUGAACUUAAGCAUAUCAAUAAGCGGAGGAAAAGAAACCAACAGGGAUUGCCUCAGUAACGGCGAGUGAAGCGGCAAAAGCUCAAAUUUGAAAUCUGGCUCUUUCAGGGUCCGAGUUGUAAUUUGUAGAAGAUGCUUUGGGUGUGGCUCUGGUUUAAGUUCUUUGGAAUAUUACAUCAUAGAGGGUGAGAAUCCCGUAUGUGACCAGUCGCCGCGCCCGUGUAAAGCUCUUUCAACGAGUCGAGUUGUUUGGGAAUGCAGCUCAAAAUGGGAGGUAUAUUUCUUCUAAAGCUAAAUAUUGGCCAGAGACCGAUAGCGCACAAGUAGAGUGAUCGAAAGAUGAAAAGCACUUUGGAAAGAGAGUUAAACAGUACGUGAAAUUGUUGAAAGGGAAGCGCUUGCAACCAGACUUGCACGCGGUUGAUCAUCCGGGGUUCUCCCCGGGGCACUCUGCCGCGUUCAGGCCAGCAUCGUUUUUGGUGGUUGGAUAAAGGCCUUGGGAAUGUAGCUUCUUUCGGGGAGUGUUAUAGCCCUCGGUGCAAUGCAGCCUACCGGGAGCGAGGACC